rnacentral:rRNA from 1 species
GACGAAGGGGGCUAGCGUUGUUCGGAAUUACUGGGCGUAAAGCGCGCGUAGGCGGCUCUUCAAGUCAGGCGUGAAAGCCCCGGGCUUAACCCGGGAAUAGCGCUUGAUACUGUUGGGCUUGAGUCCGGGAGAGGAUAGUGGAAUUCCCAGUGUAGAGGUGAAAUUCGUAGAUAUUGGGAAGAACACCGGUGGCGAAGGCGGCUCACUGGCUCGUAACUGACGCUCAGGCGCGACAGCGUGGGGAUCAAACAGG